UGUUAUCUUAUGCAGCCCUUAGUGACACUCUACAUUGUCACGCCGUGGAAUAGGGAGGUCUUUUAUCAUUCUACACUCCCUACUAAAUAUGUAAUGCCACCUUCCAUGGUACUCUUCUUUAAAAAUCAUUAAAAGCUAUGGGAUAAAUGUGCACAAGAAACCUAGUAUAUAUGGAAAUACUGUUUGUUUUUUGUAACAAAAGAUCUCCUAAAAUUCGAAAUUAGAUUUCACUUUGAAUUGAUAGAAUAUUUUGCGACCCUGAUCACGCUGUGUCCUUAACGUUUUACGGACUAGUCUGCAAAUAUUGUGUCUUUACUCAAGACGCACUGUCAUUCUGCUUCCACUGCAUCUUCAAGUCACUGGAAUGGCUAAUAAGGAUGACAUCACUGAAAGCCUGCUGGUGAGUAAUAAAAUAGCUACUAGAAUGUGUUUGAAUCUCCAAGAACAACAUGACAUCAGUAUUAGCGUCUGCUAUUUGCUGAACGUGUUAGGGCAAAAGAAUAUUAAUGCAUGAUUAAUAUGAAUGUCAAGGAGACUACAUUGGUAACAUAUGGGAGUUGGUGGAAAUUUAUUUUAUAUUCUCUGAAUGUAAGUAAACACUGUAAACUGUAUGCUAACACUUCGGAAACUUACCUGGGGUAUGUCAGACGCUGGUAACUUUCUCCACUGAAAGCAAGUAAGUAGCUCCUGCAUGGAUCAUCCAUUAGCUCUUCUGAGCUCGGACCAGCAGUACAGGACAAGCUCAAUGGCUGAGAGCAUCAGCCAGUGAGCUAAACACAGCAGCAUCAGACUGACUGCUUCCUGAUAGACCCCAGGUAAGUUGUCACACCUUUCGCAAACAGUUUGACUACUUACACUGUGGGGCUCCAGCGCAUACUUUGUAAUACACAUUACAGUGCGCUCUUGUAACUGACAGCAUACUCAGUUAGAGGGGUUCAGAUGCAGGAUUCCUACAUUUAAUUACAAUUUUUACAACUCACAAAUACAUAUUUGUUAAAUAUAGGGGAUAGGUAAACAUAUUCUGAAUUCAGCAAUACCUGGGUGAGAUUCUCAAUUAUGAAUAAAUUAACUUAUAGCAGCUCUUUAAAUAUUGAUACAAAAAGAUCACUGCUAUGCGAUUACCAAAGCACUUAACUCGAGUUUUUGUGUGAUUAACAGAAACCCAAAAUUUGAAAGUGCACAAAGAACGACUUACUUUCUAGAAAUGCCUCAUCGAUUCAAACAUUAGAACAGGGAUAGUACCUCAAAGGUUAUACAUUUUCUGAAAAAGGAGUCAUCGGUUCUCUUUAGCAUGCCUUCUGGCCAUGAUCUGACACUAUCAAAUAAAACAGAGUCACAGUAGAUUGGUCAGCCCAAUAAAACUGCAAAUUUGAUGUAACAGACCCUAAAGCAGAUGUGCGUAUGUUUAAAAACCUGCUGACACUAUGCCAGUCAAUGUGUACUGCAUACUGAUGUGCAACCUUAAACAAUUCAGUCACAGGUUUUUGGAACUGCAUACAAAUGGUGCUACAUAAAAGGAAAAACAACACAGCUUCUGCCCAAAAUGUUUACAGAUUUAUUUAUUAAGAACCCAAUAUAAAUGCCUCUUUAUGCUUAUAUAUUGCUGUGUGAUGUAAAUAAAAUAGAAGUCAAAAUAAAAAAUACAUAUAAGACAAACCAAGGGGCUACUUAUAGUAUGUAUGCUAAAUAAAAUGGUAAAUAUGGCAAGAUGGCUAAUUUGUGGCUCCACAUAUUUGUCACUUCUGUUUAGACACAAUGAGUUAUGGCUGUUGGAAAACAGUUUCUUGCUUGCACAUAUAAUAGAUGACUACAUCUCCUUGAGUAUGCACCAAAAGAUCAAUGAGCUGCAAGAACCUCCAUAUGCUCCUGUUUUGUACCUGUCAGGAUUACUAGUUGAUCCAGCACGUAGAAUUGUGUCACACAGAUGACUUAUAGGCAACAUAUUACCGGGCCUUAGAAUGGCCGGACUUAACGUACCAAAGAAUAGUCAGGAUACUUGCCGAGGUCAGGGGAUACAGAAAGAGACACAACAAUAAGAGAAAGCCAGAAGUCAGGGAUACCAGAAUACAGGAAAGUCAAAAUCAAAGUCAAAAACCAGAAGAAACUUGAAUCAGGAACGCACUCUCGGACAACCACAAAGGAAACCACGACAGAGCACUGAGCAGGAUGAGAACUGGGCCUAAAUACCCCUCCUCUGGAUCUGAUAGGCUGUAACCGGCCUUUGACCCCAAAGGCAGUUACUAGGUUCCAUUUGCAUAAUUGCUGCUCAGCAUUAACCCUUCUGUGGAUUUGGUUGCUGCUCGGCACAACUUUUCCUGUGUGGACAGUAAAUGCCAUUUACCACAUUUUUAUAAGCGGAUGAAUACGUGACAGUACCAAGAUGGUGGCAUGUAAAAGGAAAACCUUAAGGUAGAUCUUCCUCCUGUUCUCCUAUCUGGACUCACUAUCAUUGCACCGUAAACACUCAUGUUUAUUGUAUGUGAUUUAGUGCAAAGAGUUCCUUUUACAACUCUAGCAGCUGUCACUUUGACAACCUUUAGAUGCACUUUCUGGUGAGCUGGUGAGAUAUGCAUUAAGAUGCCGGACGCUCCUCGCAGAGAUGCAUUGAGGCAAUGCAUUUCUAUGAAGAAUGCGAAUUGGCACAGCACUGUGAUUGCUGCACCUGCACACUGGCCCCUGCCCCCUGCCCCCUGCCCCAUGAUCUCCUAUUGGGAAGCACUGGAUUGGCAGAAAUCAUCAGCAAUGAUGAUCUAAGCCGGGGAGGACUGAUAGGAACGGUGAGACUGACGAGACCAGCGAGACUGGGGUCUAAACAUGAGUUUAGACCCCAGUGCAAAUAUUGAGUUGCAUAUAUCUAAAUAGCGUGUAUAACUAACUGUAAAAGAAAUAUUGAAAGUGAAAAAAUACACAUUUUUGCUUUAAUGAGAACUAAGUGUAUCAAUAAUUCAUGGUUUAUUUUUCCUCAUAAACAUAACAAGCGCACCCAAAGAGUGUCCAUAGAAACACAUACAUAAGGAUGAUAUGUCCAUGCAUUAGGUGGUGUCAGGACAUAUAUGACACACCCCUUGUGCACAUGUAUGUAUACUCCAUAUUAUUUUCACAAGAUUUCCAUGAUGUGGCAAAAUGUUCUACAGUGCAAUUACUCCAGUUAUGCAUUUCCAAUGAAUUGUAAAGGAUGACUACCAGUAGUUUAAAGUCACUCACCAUCUCUUAAAUGCAGAACAUAUGUAGUGCUUACAGAUCAAUGCUGACAGACAGCCCAACACUGGAUAAUUAAAAUGCAUGUGCUACAUUCUGCUGCACAUAAGAAACGGAUUCUAAUCAAGCAGAAUAUUUCAUAUGGAUUUAACUUAUAAAUAAUGGGUUGCUGUCUAGUGUGACAUUCCAUGUUGUGUGUAGUACGAGAGAAGCUAUAAAGACGGUGACAUUGGCUUAGAUAUUAUUUUCUGAUUAGAUUAACAGGUUAUACCAAGCUUCAGAUGACCCAACAUUUUUAAUGUCUUAUACAGAUAAUGCAUUUAAUAAUAAUGAUACAAUAAAUACAUAAACAAAUCAAUUUAAAAAAAAAAAAAACAUGGGAAGGUUUCCAUUUUGCAAACAUUUUCUAUGAAUUUCCCAUGAUGCUAGACCACUGCAGCAAUCAGGAACUAAGGAUAAUCAACCAAUAAGUGCCCUUCAUUUGUGUGAAGCACUGUGAAUCCAUGCAUGCAAACUAAAUUGCAACAGGCUUGGGCAUGCACAGUACCCCCGUGCAUGCUUCCAUUUAAAAUAACGCACUUGCGAGCUGUACGGAACAUGGAAACACUAUCUAUAGUAUUUCUCCGGUUUUCCUCAAACCAUCUUCAGUUUGAAAAGGCCUAAUCAAAGUGCUGCAGUUUUUGUUUGCAACAUUUAUUUAUCUUGGUUUUUUUGCAGCACUUGUGGAUAUCCAGCACAUGUUACCUUUCUAUACAAAACCUUUAUAAUGACCAAGUGCCUGGGAUAUUCAUUUAACAGUCCAUGGGUUUAAAAAAAUAUUAAAAGGGUUAUUUACUAAAGUGAGAAUUCAAAAUUUUAAAUGUAAAAGAACACGCCAAGCACACAAAGCACUUUAGCUUGCUGAAGUUUUUUAUGUGUUAAGUGUGUUUUUAUUUCUUCAAUUUUGCAAAAAGUGUAGAUUUCACUAGAAAAAAGGCACAGUUUAUAAAUGAAUCUAGUUAUACCCCCUAGAUGUCAAUUAGACAACCGGUCCUACUACUUUCCAGCUGUUUAGCUCAGUGGAACUACACUGAAGAGGCAGUAAUUGCCCAGAGUAACUUGCCUUGUAAAGACUUCUCAUCGAGCUCCAUUGGAAAUCUAUGAUUAGACAGCCACAGAAAGUCUGGGCUGGAGAAGAAGGAAAUGGCUUGGUAAAGGCUGCAGACAAUAGAUCUGCAGCUUUUGCAAGCUGUUUUUAGGUAUGCAUCCUAUGUAAGAAAAUCAUAAUUAAAUGCAUGUAUGUUUCUACUAGGUAUAUGCACUAAAUAAUUAUUUGGGGGGGGUCAAAAUAGUCAAACUGGAAAUAAUAUCUACAUUAGCUUUGCUUCCAGUUCAGAUACUCUGGCCUUAAAUUUGAAACUCACUUUGAAUUCUCAUUUUAGUGAAUAACCCUGUUAGUUUAGAGAAGUAGUCACACACAAAGCACAGCGUCCCUUUCCCAUGAUACAUUGAUAAAUUAACUUUCACAAAUCUGUAUUUUUUAUUAUUAUGAGAAUUAACUAGCCUUAACAAGCUUAAAAAAUAUCAAAUUAAUGGAACAAAAAUCUAAUCCGUAUUUAAAUGUUACUCAGAGUUCUCAAAUUUCCUUUUUUUGGAGGGACAGUCCCUCUUUUGGACUCAAAUCCCCCAGUUCCUCUUUUGUAUAUUGUCCUCUAUUAUAGACAUACAGAAUACUUGUUGAUUAUGAAUGUUUGAAAAACUUCAAAGAAACUAAAUUCCCCAAUAUUAUGAACUGUCAUAAGCAUGUUUCUAAAUUACUAUGACUACAUAUAAUCAUCUUCUACCUGUUUUAGAUCAGUUCAUUUCAUGAAAAGCAAUAUCAUAUUGACCAUCACCAUCCAUCAUCUGUCCCUUUCCACGUUUGUCAUUUAAAUGUAUGAAUUUAAGGUAACCUAAGAGUAUCUGUGAAUUUCCCAUUUGACCUGCAGAAGUUAAUGGGCAUAUAAGUUCAUCAAUAUUGAUGGAGCCAGUGGGUGCCUAUGUCUAACAUAGAAACAUAGAAUGUGACGGCAGAUAAGAACCAUUCAGACCAUCUAGUCUUCCCAAUUUUCUAAAUACUUUCAUUAGUCCCUGGCAUUAUCUUAAGCGUAGGAUAGGUUUAUGCCUAUCCCACGCAUGCUUAAACUCCUUCACUGUGUUAACCUCUACCACUUCAGCUGGAAGGCUAUUCCAUGCAUCAACUACCCUCUCAGUAAAGUAAUACUUCCUGAAAUUAUUUUUAAACCUUUGCCCCUCUAAUUUAAGACUAUGUCCUCUUGUUGUGGUAGUUUUUCUUCUUUUAAAUAUGGUCUCCUCCUUUACUGUGUUGAUUCCCUUUAUGUAUUUAAAUGUUUCUAUCAUAUCCCUCCUGUCCAGUUUUUCCUCCAAGCUAUACAUGUUGAGUUCAUUUAACCUUUCCUGGUAAAUUUUAUCCUGUAAUCCAUGAACCAGUUUAGUAGACCUUCACCAGUGUUCAGUUGGGGUCAUGAAAGCAGAAUUCUCAUCUCUAAGCUUAGGCUAAUAGGCUAGAUAACACAAAAUGAGGUGUACACCAGAUAUUUGUUGGAAGCCCCCCAAAAAAAGGCUUAAAGAAAAACAAAAGGCACCAAAACCCUGCAACGUAUAGAAGGUGCAGAUUGGUACAGAGUGGCAAUUGCUGCACAUGCGCACUAAUCUCCCCAAUACUUCUCUAUGAGGAAACAUUGGAUUGACUGACAUCAUAAGGAUUGAUGAACUCUGUCAGCAAAGGUGGGAUGGAUGCAGGGAAACAGCCACUCUGGAGGAGUAAAGGUAAAUAAAACAGUUUCUCUUUUUAUUGAUUUGUGGACCCCUGAAUCUAUUAAGUUAUUAUGAAAACAAUAGUGUCAGGAGUACGUUUUAUACCUAACACUGUAGUGCUCCUUUAAAAAUUGACAGGAUCCACUUCAAUAUCAAUGAAGUAACUUUUUUAUUGGAUCAAUGUCACGCACAGCAACAAAAGAGAUCCUAUUACAGAUAAUGUCAAUAGAAAUAAUAAAUCAACUUUCAAUAACUUUUUGUGCCUGUAAUGGUGAUUAUUUAUUGAAAAUGUGUAGGAGUUGUCACUUUACCUAACAGAGGUUGACGCAUUUCAAUAAUUAAUAGUUCAUCUCCGUAUGGGUCAUGUAUGCACAAUAACAGUAAGAAAAGCACAGCUGCAUGUUAUGUGCCAAGAUACUACCACAUGUUUUAACAGUUGCUGGUAUCCAGGUGUAUUUACACUGUACUCUCAAAGAAUGGACUGAGCAGAAACCAGGAAAAAUAGUGUGACUCUAUCCAAUGGCUGGAACCAAAUAUAGGUGCGUUACAAAAAAAAUGACAGAUAUCCUCCUAUAAUAUCUAGAGGAGAUAUCUAUUGUAUAUUAUAAAGGUAACAUUGAGUUUACCAAUUAAGUGUUCGUCAACUGUCUUUUAUUACUACUUGCACCUAUUUCUGAUGCAAUCUUGGAGAGCUUCCAUCUGAUCUUCUUUUAAGGAAAUCAUUUAAUCACAACAUUUUCUGGAGAUAUCACCUGCACGGUGUAAAGUUAUGCAUACUUUGUUAAAAGAUGAGUCUAUCAGCCAUUCUAUUUUAUGGCUGACAGAGUCCCUUUAACAUGUACUUUAAAUGAAGUUGGCCAUCAUCAUCACAAUAUUUAAAGAUAUAUUUAUGAAAACACCAACAAACUACGUGGCAUUACCCAUGUGAAAUCACACAUACAACUCGGAAUUCAAAUGAAUAAAGGUUUGACUCUCUUACCUAAAUAUCAAUGGCGAGUUGUAGUGAAUAUUCUUCAUGGUCGGUGCUAGAUGACAAAACACAGCAGACGGAAAAGAAACAGAAGUUCGAACAAGUGUUUUUGGCUCUGAAGAAGAAGAAGCUGCUCAGACACCCUCGCAGCAGACAGAGGAUGACUGUACUACAAUGCCAAAUGCCAAAUUGGUGAAAGUAAAACUCAUGUGUGAUGAGGGGAAGUGAAGUAGUUUCCACGGUAUAAUCAACAUGAAACUGCUAGUAAUAACCCAUGGUUUUUUUUCAUUCUCCGUAAAUUAUCUUUUUUUUUUUUUUAUUGUUUUUUUACUAUUUUGAAAGUAGCCACACUUGGAACCAAAUAUUGCCAUCAACCACUGAUAUUUCAGGCACUUCUCAGAAAGGUUAAAGGGACAUCAUAAGCAGAGCAUGGAGGCUAACCAUGCAGCCUCAGAAGUGUAAACAUUGCCUUUUCUGCUUAUCUACACAACUAAUGGCUGUCACUCAAACAGUCACUAGAGGUACUGAAAUUGUUGCAGGAGUGACGGUCAACAUCUCCAUGUAGAUGCUGGACACUCCCCAUAAAGAUGCAUUGUGUCAAUGUAUCCCUGAUUGGUGCAGCGAGUCAAUUGCUGCACAUGUGCCCAGUCCCCCAGUGCUUCCCUAUAAGAAAGCACGGAAUUGGCUGAGAUUAUCAGUAUUGAUGAUCUCAGCCCGAGGGGAAGCAGCAGCUGCAAUCACACAGACAAAUCGUGGUAAAACAUGUAAACAAAAUGCCGUGCAUCACUUCCUCCCACCGGAAAUCCGAGCCGUGCGGAGGAGGAAGGCAGGGAAACCACCAGUGGACCCCAGGGAAUCCACCCUGAAGAAAAAGGUAAGAACCUGGAAGGUGGCUAAAUGUAGCAUGUGUGUCAGUAUGUUUUAACAAAUUUAACUCUAUUGUAUGACUUUUAUAUGAAUCACUAUACAGUGGGACCUCGGUUUACAAAUUUAAUGCAUUCUCCGGGACGUUUCUUAUUGCGAAAAAUUUGUAAACCGAAACACGGGUCCAAUAGGAAUGCAUUGAAAACCAAUUACCGUAUAUACCCGUGUAUAAGUAGAGAAAUUUUACCUGCAAACUUGUUAUAUUGCAGGCUCGACUUAUACACGGGUGUGAGGGGGAAUGGCCGCAUCAUAGUGGUGCAGCUGGACCAGGCGGCCGGCUAGCCGGUCCAGCGGCAUACUCACUUUCGUGCUUUCUGACUGUGCAGCUGUCAGAAAGCACGAACUGGAGGAGGGCGGCGGCGGCAUAAUCACUGUAGCGAGAGGGAGGGAGGGGGACGGGACAUUGAUGUCCGUGGGACCGGCGGGAGCACAUAAAACCACUCUCCCGCCGGUCAAUCUCUCUUACCCCUCCAGAUGCGCCGGCCAAAUGAGGGGAUGUGAGCUGCGGCCAAUCAGCUCACAUUAUGUUAAGGGCUGCUGGGAUACAUGAUAUCAUAUCCUAGCGGCCAAGUGUUGAAAAUAGAGAAGGCUGGCCACUGGUACACACUUGUUUAAUUUAUUAAAAGUGUUUAUAAUCUAGUGGGUUUCUGUCAGUGUAUAUGUUAGAGACACACAAAAGGGAGGGGAAGAGAGACACACAGUGGAUAGGGGAUAAUGAAACAGGGGCAAGAGAGAGACACAGGGGGAGGGAAAAAGAGGCAGAGGGGGAAGAUAGAGACUGGGAAGAAAAGGGGAGAAAUGGACACAUAGGAGCAGUGAGGGGGAGAAAGAAACAUACCGGUACACCAUAUAAGGGAACUUGAUUGACUAUUUACUCUUGUUUGUCAAAUGAUUAUUAAGAUUACAUUAAUAAUAACAGAAUAAUAUUUUCGGUAAAUUCUUAUCUUCAGAAAAAUGAGUUUUGCAAAGAAAAUGAGAGCUUCUUACACUGCUGCGCUUAAAUUGAAAGUUAUUGUACGUGCAAAGGAAGCCAAUAAUAGCGUAGCUGCAAGAGAGUUUAGCAUCAGCGAAAAACUCGUAUGAGAUUGGAGAAAAAAAUGAGGCUAAAUUGCAAGCCAUGCCGAAGUUGAAGAAAGCAUUUUGUUUCAAAGCUACACCUUUUGAUGGAAUGGAAAAGGAUUUGAAUGACUGGAUAAUGGAAUGUAGACAAAAUGGAUAUGUUGUGACUCGCUCAAGCAUUCGACUACGAGCACUUCAGAUGGUAAAAGAAAAAUAUUUGGCGACUGAAGCUAUGGCACAAUUUAGAGCAUCGUCUGGUUGGUGCACACGAUUCAUGAACCGGUAUGGAUUGUGUCUUUGUCAGCGAACAAAGAUCGCUCAGAAGCUGCCUAAAGAACUGGACGAAAAGGUCAUGUCAUUCCACAAUUUAAUUAUCAAACAGAGAAAAAAGAAUGGUUUCGUUCUAAAUAACACUGGUAAUAUGGACGAAACUCCAAUGACAUUUGAUAUGCCUGGCAAUCGAACUGUAGCAAGCGUUGGAGAAAAAACUGUACUUAUAAAAACAACCGGUCAUUAAAAGUCACAUUUCACUGUUGUACUGUCUUGCCUGCCAGGUGGCACUAAACUGCGCCCGGUAAUAAUAUUCAAGAGGAAAACAAUGCCAAAGAACUUAAAAAUUCUGGCAGGAGUAACUGUUCGUGUUCACCCUAAAGGUUGGAUGCAUGAGGAGGGUACAAAGUUGUGGCUGUGCAAUGUGUGGGGAAGGCGACCAGGCGCAGCGCUAAGAAAAUGUCUGUCGUUAUUGGUGUGGGAUAUGUUCCGUGCGCAUAUAACAGAGGAUGUGAAGGACGAAGCAAAGAAAAUGGCAACCACGUUAGCAGUGAUUCCAGGCGGCCUAACAUCAAUGCUCCAGCCAUUGGAUGUCUGUCUCAACAAGCCUUUCAAGGACCGAAUGCGCAAUAUGUGGUCAAGCAAAGUUAACGAAAGGAGGAAACUUGAUGAAACCAGACAUUGAUUUGAUAACGAAAUGGGUAAAGGAUGCUUGGGAUUCAAUAUCACCAGAAAUGAUGAAGAAGUCGUUCCUGAAAUGUGGAAUUAGUAAUGCUAUGGAUGGAUCAGAGGACGAUGCCAUCUAUGAAGAGAAAGAUGAAUCGGCUUCAUAUUACCAAUUCAACAGAUGACGACAGCGAAGACGACGUUUACGCUGAUGGCAUCACCGAAGAACAAUGUCGUGAUUUAUUCGGACAUUCUGACGAUGACGAGUGAGAGUUGGAAGGAUUUGUAUAGGCCAAACAAUGUUUGUGCUAUUUUGGAGGGCAUAAAUAAAAAUUCCCUGUAAUAAGUUUAAGGAAUUCGUUACAGUUAAUAAAUUAAAUGUUCAUGUUCAUGAUUGCUGAUUUUUUAAAAUCCAGUUUUUAGCUGACAUGUUUGAUUGUUCCAGGAUCUUACCUAGGUAAAAUCUGACAAAAUUAUAUAUAUAAAAAAAAAAAAAAAAAAAUCACAGAAUUUCAUAGCCCCACAUUUUACCCUCGACUUAUUCACGAGUCAUAGCAUAUUUCACAAUUGUUGGUCACAAAACUGCACUCGACUUAUACACGAGAUCGACUUAUACACGAGUAUAUACGGUAAUCCGUUCUGGACCUCAGAAAAAAGUCAAAAUGAGCUGGCAUGGAAACCAACCCACAAUGCAGAACACACAAUAAAAGGCAUGUAGACGAAAAUGCUCAGCUCCCUACCUUUCCACAGCUUGAGAAAUGCACCAAAAAGUCCCAAAACAACUGCAAACAAUUUCCAGAAUGGCUCCAAAACUCGAUGCAAAAGCCGCUCCAACACAUCCACACUCGACGCCACAUGCUACCCACAGGCUCCAGCAUGCAGGGGCGGUGCUAUAAACCUCCCAGGUGCAAUGCAUCCUGGGGAAACUUGCUUUGUAUUGCAAAAUAAAUUUGUAAACCGAGGCAUUAUUUUCAAUGGAUUUUCAUUUGUAAACCGACAAUUGGGUUAACCGAGGCCUUUGUAAACCGAGGUCCCACUGUAUUUUACUAAAGCCAUCCAUCUGCAAAAGUAGCUUUGAAAUGGAGAUUUGUCGAAAGGGCUCUUCUUCUGAAAAGCCUUUGAUUGAACGAUGCAAAGCACUGACAACCAUGCAAGUCCUGGGCAAAAAGGGUCUGGAUCUUCAUUAGCAGCACAGGCCAGUUCUGCAGCUAAUGAAAGGUAAGGUUUUUUUUUUUUUUUUUUACUAAGGAAAUACUUCAGAAAAUUUGAAUAAGUUGUUGUUGUUUUUUUUUUUUUUUACAUAGAUUAAAUAUUUUUUUUUUACAAAUGUUUAAAUAUUUUUACAAAUGUUUUAUACAUUUCUCCCUUUAAUUAUUUGAUUAACAUGUGUUACCAUUUAUUUGAAGUAACUUUUCUAGUGAUAUCAGGACUGGUGUGAAUAUUGUUAAAGUUCACAGUUUUAUUCCAAUAAUGAAGGAAAGCAAUACUGAUAACUGAAAUAAAAAAAAAUAGGUAAUUGAAUAGGUAAUUGAAAUCAAUAAUUAGCUAAAUUAAAAAUGUAAUUGGAAAUAUAAGUUGUGAAUACAGUCUAGUCAAGUUAAAAGUUUUCCAAAUCCUCUAUUACUGCAUAAUUUGGGAAUUAAGUUAAUCAACUUAUUACAAUUUAUUUCAUGAAUUAAUUCCAUAAAUAUUUUCCUUUGGUAUAUCGAGAGAUAGAGAUGGAGCCAAUAAACUGGUUGCAAAAUAACAAACAAAAAUUCCAUUCAUGAAAAUAUACUGUAAAGUAGAUGUGUCUAAGGAAAAAUACAACAAAAAUAUACUAGCCAAGUAUGCAAUUACAAGCUAUAUCAAUAUAUGGUUUGUUUUACCCAUUACAUUUGGUUAAUAACUUCUGGAUGUGUACGUGUGUUACUAUAUUUCAUAUAUGUGAUACGUACAACAUUAAUUUUCUUUUUAUAGCCACGUUUGGAAGUGCACAAUAGAAUGUGUCUGCAGGGAAAUUUAUUUUUAAUUGGUUUGUAUUUUCUUACAAUUAUAUCUCUGUCUUAGAGUAUACAUGCAAAUAUAUCCUCAUUAUAUAGAGCAUUUUUUAAAUUAUUCCCACUGCAUCACUUUGCAAUUUGCUGUAGGUAUAUAUAUUUUGUAAUGACAGUAUAGAGAUAGCUAUAGACUGUCAGCUCGUUUAAGCAGGGUCCUCUUCAACCUAUCGUUCUUGUAAGUUUUCUUGUAAUUGUCCUAUUUAUAGUUAAAUAAAUCAAACUGUAGCAAAGGUCAAAUGUUUAUAAAUAUCUUAUAAUAUUGUAAAGAGCUAGGGAAUCUGUUGGCGCUAUAUAAAUGGCGAUAAUAAUAAUAAUAUCCAGAAAGGAUCAUUCAACACCUAUUGAAUGGUGUUUUUACACAUAUUAGAUAUCUGAACUAGCUUUUUUAAACAUUAUUUAACAUUAUUAUAUUAAUCCAGUGCAUACUUUAUAUGUAGUCACAUAUAUCUAGAGUUUCCACAUGAUUACAUUUUUUAUUUCUCGUUAUAUUUACAAAGGUGCUGAUAUAGCACAUUGUAUAAUUAUGUAUAAUUUUGCAGUUCAUUGUACAAGACCUGCAUACAUUUAUUCUUGCUUAUAAGGAAAAAGUGCGUGGAAGUUUUAAAAAAAUAUAUAUGGUAUCACAAUGAUUAGAGAUCUAACCAUGGUUGUUGCCUCUCAAUCUAUACUUCUUCCCAUACAUAAAAAUAAAACAAAAAUAUGUAAAGGUUUAGCAAGGUGAAGUUUAAAUUCCAAAUAUUAAAAAUUAAACAGAACCAGAUUAAAUAAAUAUGUAACACAAUGUGAACAUAAUACGUUUCGUUAACACAUUUAUCAAUCAUUCACUAUUUUUCAAAUUUUAAAUUUCGUAACAAUGACUUCAGUAUAGUAAGGGCUUGCAUAUAAAAUUAAUUACAUAUACUGUAUUUUAUAAUAAUAUUUAUAUCAUUUUACGUUUACCUUGGAAUUUUCUUUGUUUGCUGCUAUGGGGUCCAGGAGUUUAUGGGAUAUAUAUUUUACUGCUAACUAAUGGUUUCAUUAUAUAACAUGAAUGGAAUUACAGCCCAAGCUGCAGUAUUUUUACUGGCUCGCCAAAUAACUUAAUUCAUACUUUUUCAGAUGAAAGUAAGUAAGGGCUUGUUUGACAGACACACAGUGGAAGUACUUGUAUGGGCAGGUAGAAUCAUAACUUUCCCUUCUAACAUUGACUUUACGAGGUGGGCUUAUAGCUGUAGCAAUUUGUGCUACAUUGUGCAAACAUUGUUAUUAUAAGUAACAAUUAUAAUAUGUUCAAGUCUUUAUGCUGUCUAGUGUGUCUCUUUAAAAAACGUAUAACUCCCCUGAGCCUUGAAAACUCAGCAAAAGGCUACCAUAGGUUUAUGGGAGUUUACCAAUAGAUGGUGACCUGUUACUUUCAGGACUGGCUUGUCUGUAACAUAACGUGUUGCUGCAUAAGAUACAUGUCAGUGACAGAAAACCAGCUUGCGAACAUUGUCUGUCACACUUGAGAUUUAUUGGAGAGUCGGUUGCAGAAAAUGCAAUGUAAUUCAGUGGGGUGAGAACAACAGACAAGCACUCAUCUGAAGCAUCUUGCUGGGGUGUGAUGGAAUUGAUGGAACUGUCUUCCUGUAGCAAUGAUUGUACAUUGUACAGCACUGCGGAAUUUGUUGGCGCUUUAUAAAUAAUAAUAAUAAUAGAAGCAGUAGCAGAAUACUACAUUUCCCAUGAUGCCGAGCCAUUUUGCCAAAUUAUAGAUUUUCCUAUCCUAAUCUGUGCCUUGUUACUAAAGAGUCGAUGGAGAUAAAGGAAGAAAAUGCCUUAACAUGACAUAUUAAGCCAUUUAUUUAAUUAGUUAUUUCCCCCCACCCCAAAAAAUAGCAAUAACAAAAAAACAACAACUUUAUUGACUACAAAACAAUAUGACUUUUCUUAGUUUAACAUUAAAAUCUAAUGAUUAAAACUGCAUUUGUUUAUUAAAUUCUACCACUGUUCUGCCAAAGAGAGAGGAAGAGGAUACAAAAUGCCAUUGAGGCGUUCGGAAGACAUCAUAAUAAACCACAAGACCAAAGGUCAAAUGUUUAGAAAUAUCACCAGAACCCUGAGAUGACAUUAUUUCUCCCUAAUACACUCUUGUCUGUUAAGUAUCGUUUGACUUACUUUUAGUUACUAGCAGUGUGUUAAGGUAGUGUAGGGGUUAAUAUGAGAGUAGUAUGUUAAGGUAAUGAGGUUAGUGUACUGAAGUGAUUAAUGUUCAGUGUCAAGGUACUAUAGGGAUUAAAUUGCAGAGAAGGGUGUUAGGGCAGUGAAGGGGUUAACUUUAGUUCACUGAAGUGAUUAAUGUUCAGUGUUAGGGUAGUGUUGGCGUUAAAGUCAGUGUUAAGUUACUGUAGGGUGUUAAGGUCGUGCAGGGUUUACUGUUAGUGUGCUGUAGUGAUUAAUGUUCAGUGGUGUAAGGGUAGUGUAGGGGUUAAAGUCAGCGUUAUGGUAAGGGUUAGUUUUAGUGUAGUGUAAUGAAGGGGUUAAUUGUUAGUGUACUGAAGUGAUUAAUGUUCAGUGUUAGAGUAGUGUUGGGGUUAAAGUCAGUGUUAUGGUAAGGGUUACUUUUAGUGUACUAACGUGAUUAAAGUUCAGUGUUAAGGUACUAUAGGGAUUAAAUAGCAGAGUAGGGUGUUAGGAUAGUGAAGGGAUUAAUGUUAGUGUACUGAUGUGAUUAAUGUUCUUUGUCAAGGUACUAUAGGGAAUAAAUAGCAGAGUAGGGUGUUAGGGCAGUGAAGGGGUUAACUUUAGUUCACUGAAGUGAUUAAUGUUCAGUGUUAGGGUAGUGUUGGCGUUAAAGUCAGUGUUAAGUUACUGUAGGGUGUUAAGGUCGUGCAGGGUUUACUGUUAGUGUGCUGUAGUGAUUAAUGUUCAGUGGUGUAAGGGUAGUGUAGGGGUUAAAUUGCAUCAUUACCUUCUCAUGGGGAAUAAUUGCAUACAUCACACAAUGCGUACAGUAUGGGAUUCUAAGACACGAUCUGUCCGAUGAAAUAUACACACAUGUAAUAAAUAUUGCAUUAUUACAUUUUUUUUCACUGUAAUAUUUCUGUUUACUGAAUGAGGAGAGUGGGCAGGAACAUGGAUUUAAAACAUCUCUCACUCAGAUAAAUUAGUUUCUUAGCAAUACUUUCCUAUUAUCAACAAAAGCCGAUUACUAAUUAGUAUGUAAUAACUCCCUGCAAUGUAAGGAGGAUUGAUGUUUGCAUGUUAUCAAUUUAAAUAGAACUGAAAUUCAGCCUACAGAGGGGGAAAAAAAAUCUCAAAAGGCUAUCUAUAGCUACAUUAGUAUUCCUAGCACAUUUAACCAUGCUACAUUUGUGUACCAGUACAUGCAAUACAUACGGGGGAGGGUUACAGUGCUGUACAUUUCAGCUGGCUUAGAUUUACUGAACAUUUUGUGUCAUACUGCCAGCUCAGCUAGAAUUAAAAAUAAGUUGAUUAUUAGAAAUUCAACCAGUGUAAAGACUUUUCUUUGUAUGGCUCAAAGAACAAAACAAACAAACAUGUUAAGUAAGGCAACAUGUAUAUGGCUGCUUAGCAUGGUUAUGUUCAGAAACAAAAGAAUAGGCUGAAAUGGUUGCGUCAUCAUGAGUAUCUGUUCCAUAGGAGACCUUGCUGUGCCAUGGAAUGUCCUCAUUUAGAAUCAGGACUCUGUAAUGCUGCUCAUUGUGAAUAAGCAGAUUCCAUGACAGUGGCAAAUCCGAAGGGAGAAAACCGGGACAGAUGAUCCCCAGAUAAGCCAAAGGCAUUUAUGUUGAAUGAUGCAUGUUUGUAGGUUUGGGUGGUUUUAUUCAAAGCUAUAUGUUAAUUCUUAUGGCCAAUAUGAAUAUGAAUUCAUCUCCAUGCCAUGCGGACAUACGGUGUUAAAGGAGAACUCUAAACAUCAUAACCUUUACAGCAACAUCAGGAGUCCCCUGACAUACUCUCACAGCAAAGGGUUUUUGAAUGGUUUGAAAUUUACCUGAAACCCUUUAGAGCCUAAAGUUCCAUUUCAUUUAAUAAUAUUAAAUUAGUUCAAUGUAUGCAUCUCCCGACACUCCCAGUCAAUGAAUUAAAGAGACACUAUAGCCACCAUGACCACUUUACAUUACAUAACUGAUUAUAGGAACCAUGGCUGUAGUUCUAUGUUUGACUCAUUUGCCAGAAGGACAUAAAAGAGGGAAUCUUAACCAGUUUGCCUUACAUUUUCUACAUCACUCACUUAAGAAAAAUAAUGGUACAGGUGCAAGAAGAUCUGUGUAGGAGUGGAAUCUUCCAUAGGUCAAAGUAUGGUACUCUAGUUCAAUUUGGGCGCAAUUAAACAGCACAGAAUGAAAGGGAAAAUACACAAUAGAUAGUGCUCUUAAUUGACUCAGUAGAAACUAUAUAGUUACAAAAGUAGAUGACUAUUGUAAACAUGGGGGAGGGGUUAAAAAAGCUAGACGUGCUAUUUUGCGUGGAAAGUGCUAUACAACAUGUGAAACUUUGCAAUACAUUCUAUUGGUUUCCAAGGUGACUUGGCACUUUUAUCAGAAUGGCAUCUGUUCUGUCCCCUUAGUUUUGCUUUUAAAAUUAAAAACAAAUGGACAAACUAAAACAAUGCAUUUUAUACCCAAGUUUAUUAUUCCUCUUGCAAACUUCAUAUGGAAGCUUUUGUCAUGACACUGCCUAUAGUGAUGCAUAAACCAGGAGAAAAUAAAUCUCAUUUAUAUUCUGAUCAAAACAACACCGUCAAGCAAAGUUAUCACAUGUUAAAGAAAAUAACUGGAAUUUUCAAUAUUACUAAUUCUAUGUCAUCUGUGAUCUACUGGAGUAGUAACACAUUAUAAAACAUGAUUAGGACAUAAAACAUAUACUAGUAGUUGUGCCUUUCUAGAAUUUCAUCAUCUUCAUCUCCCUGCAUACAGCAAAAAUAGGGACAUUUCCAUAACAAACAAAUACACUAGCUUACAAUGCUUAAAAUGGUGUUCUGUUUUUUCCCCUUUAUAAUGCAGUUCAAAACAACAGUUCAAAUAAAGAAAUGAUUUUUCUUGUAAUAAAGUUAUAGAAACCUUUUCUGGAAUUACCUUUCUAAUAUCUUCCAGUUGUUUCGUUAUGUAGGAGGCCAUUUUAAAUUAGAUCACAAUACUUAAACUCUCAAGAAGAUAAAAAAAGACGAAAUAGAACAUGUGAUGUCAGCAGCCAAUCACAUUUUGUCAUCUAAGCUUCCUAAUGCGCUUGAAACAAGAAAUUGUCCUUUCUGUUAAUUCUCUAAUGAUACACUGUAUCCAGGCUUAAUUCUGAGAAACUUAAUUGAUUUGUAUUAAACAAACGCUAAACCGAAUGCACAUCGUCAACACAAGAAAACAGAUUGAUUUGAAAUGUUGACGCAUGGUCUAUUUAUGAUCACAGAGCCUCUUUAAUCAAAAAUUCUGAAGAGAACGUGCCUACAUUUUCUAAAUAACAGAUUUGAUAUGCACAAGCCACAUACUGUGACAUUCCUGAUCAUUGUACGUUCCAUCAAAAUGCCCCAUGUUUUGCUGGACCAUCCUUAACAAAGGUAUUCCCUAUCCUGUCUUUGUAUUUAUAAAUCCAAUACAGACCAUGAAAGGGUUAACUGACUCUGGCAAAGAGCAACCAGUUCACUCAACAGAAAAAAAAAAAGUUGUAUCUUAUGGUUAAUUUAAACAUAUAAGGACAGUACAACUGCUGAACAUUCCAUAACUAUCUACAAGCAUAUGUAGUGUAGUGAAACAUUGUUUCAUUCAGGCUAUAAGGCCCUCUGUUUGUUAAUUCAGCUUUUGUAGCAACCUAAAUAUAUCAUUAAAAAUGUUUCAUUAACAAUUAUUCAUUACUAAAUAGCAUUGCUAUCAUAACUGUAAUAUAGUACUACUUGUUUCCAACACUCACUCAGUCUGUUUGCUGGGGCACAAUUAAAAUAGCCUACAUAUCAUCAGUUAAACAUGAAGGUAUGUCGGAUGCGUACAUAUAGUAUUCCAUGAUAUCAAUGCUCACUUGUCUCCUGGUUUGUUCCCAUAUUCUUGGCAGUGGUACCACCUUGUUUAUCCUUUUGCUAGAUUUCGAAUCUCCUUCCCUGUUGUGUUAUUAUAUGACCUCUGACUGUUUAUUUGUUAACCCUAUCCUAAUCCUGUUUGUCUUCUUGCAGAUCUGAUUGGCAAUGUUUAUUAUCUUGAUUAAACUCUCGCUGCCUUGAACCUGAAUUGUCCUUUGCUAUUGUAACUCUAAGAAGC